rnacentral:snRNA from 1 species
GUUUUCGGCAAAACAGUUACUAAAAUUGAAACAAUAUACAGAAAAUUGUUAUUGCCUUUGUAGAAUGAUCAUAUAAAAAAUCGUGAGGAAUCUCAUUUUCUU